CCUGUCCGGGGAUGCCAGUCUUCGGUGUCUUCAAUCAGUCGCUUCUUGCUGGCAUCGCUGUGGGUGGGUGUGUGGUAAAACUCUGUGUAGGUAUCCACAAUGUGCUUCCGCGGGGGACUUGCUGUCGAUACUAACUUUAUCAUUGUUGUUAUCUGCAAGGGAAAAAAAAAGUAUUUGAUGUGUUAACACAUUCUUUGCUCCUUGAAAUAUUACAGGAGUUUCCAAAUCCAAGAUCUGGUAAGGCCAUAUAC